UAAACAUUCUUGUACGAUUUAUAUACCCUUUAAGCAUAAAAACUUUAAUUUUGGUGUUCCCAUCAACAAUCUCAAAGAUUAAUUAAAGGGGUAAAAUGCACUAUUACCCUAUUCUUGUUUAAUCGGUUUCCCCAAAUUAAUUGUCUUAAAUUUGAGUAAAUAACUUCCACUACAUUCAAAUUCAAGUCCAUUUGCUCUGCUGUGAGUGAAUUGGAGAGAAAUGAGAAAGGGGAAAAUUGCCCCAGGCGGCAAUGAAGCGAGAAAAAGGAGCGAGAAAGGAGACUCGAAAUCCCUCAAUGCCUAUUUCAAGCAGAGGAAGUCACGAACAGAAGACUUCAAAUGCCGGGAUCUUGAAGUUGAAAAUCAGUAACAAAUAAGAGAACCGGGAAAUGAAAAUAAGGGCAAGCCGGGAAAAGGGUUCUUCGCUUGCUAUCUGCUAAUCUCUCUCAGCCCUCGUCAUAAAGGCCACACCUAUAUCGGAUUAAACCCACUGCGUCGAAUAAGACAGCACAAUGGGGAAAUAGGGAGGGGUGCUUGGAGGACAAAGAGCCGACGCCCGUGGGAAAUGGUUGUGUGCAUAUAUGGUUUUCCAACCAAUGUAUCUGCUUAUCCAUUUCUUAUGCUUGUUGCUAAACUGUUGUUCAAUUUACUUGGUUGAGUUACUAGUAUGAUGUUCUUAUAUAUAUCCUAUGGUAAAUAUUUGUUUUGAACAGGACUUUGCAACUGUUGUUUUCUGACAGAUAGGUUUGCUCAUGUCUUUGAUUCAAUUUCGUCUUACACUGUCUUUCUCUACCAGCAGUAUGGCGGAUUUGCGCUCAUUUUCAACUAAAGAAUUUUAUUGGCUCGCAUCAUGCUUUUGGGGCAUCAUCAUCUGCAAACUAGGGAUUUUCAACUUUCCAUGCUUUAAUUGCAGCAUGGGCUUCUCUCUACCUCCUACUAUUCUCAGAUCUUUUUGACGAGGAUGCCAGUAAUGACUUGAUUGUUAAUAGAUUCCAAAUCCCAAGAUAGCUCAAAAAGGGAGAG